rnacentral:rRNA from 1 species
UACGGCCUACGGGGCGCAGCAGUGAGGAAUAUUGGUCAAUGGGCGAGAGCCUGAACCAGCCAAGUCGCGUGAAGGAUGACGGCGCUACGGGUUGUAAACUUCUUUUGUCAGGGAGCAAUUGAGUCCACGUGUGGUCUUAGCGAGAGUACCUGAAGAAAAAGCAUCGGCUAACUCCGUGCCAGCAGCCGCGGUAAUACGGAGGAUGCGAGCGUUAUCCGGAUUUAUUGGGUUUAAAGGGUGCGUAGGCGGUCCGUUAAGUCAGCGGUAAAAUUGCGGGGCUCAACCCCGUCGAGCCGUUGAAACUG